CAAAGCGUGUUUGGCACAGGGGCGGCGUGAGCCUGCAGAGGAAAGUAACAACAACGAUUACUAAAGAAGUUGCAACAGAGACCGAAACAGUCCAGCAAACGUGUAGUCAAGCCCCAGUAUUUGCUUAUACAUAAACAUGACGUAGUGGAUUAUUUCUAUUAAAUUAAAUUAUCAGGAGAUUUUAUAGGCUUAUUAUCCCAUGGGAACCGGGGGUUGGGAACAGGUGAUCUUUAAGGUCCAUAUGUCUCUAUGAUCUACUGGAGAAAAGCUUUUAAUGUCGCUAAAACAUCGUUUAAAUUGACAGCAAAAUUAUACGGUCAGGUGUGCGCAAUUGAAUGACGGCGAUGAUUUUGGGCCCAAAAGUGACACAAGAUGGCGCCCAGAACCACAGGCAGAGCCAACCUGAGCAACACCCUGACUCCCAGGUGGUGAGGUCCCAGUUGAUCUAAAAGUGAAUAAAGCUCCUGCAUGGCCGUCAGACCUUCCACUCAAGCAUGGCUAUAUUGCAUUUUCUUAUAU